AAGCUCUACUGAUAAUACCAGCUUUAACUACUGGAGUUUCCCUUUGAACAAAUAUUCAAUUUAACUGGAGUUAAUUUACCAUAAAAGACAUUCCCCUUGGCAGGAAUGCACUCACGUCCUUGAACACACCUCUUUGAAUGCCUGGACUCUUACAGAAGCCAUUAUUUCAGGUCUCUUUAAAAAUCCAAUGCCCAUCUCUCUUGCUCUCCCUCCCUCCCUUCUUCCCUCCCUCCUCACCACACCACCCCCAGUGAAAUCCUGGCACCCAGAGAGCUCUCCUUUCAGCCAGAGAGCCCAGAACCAGCCCCGUUGUUGUCCCCUGGCAAAAGAGGCCCAGUGCUGAGCCCUGGGCAGGCCUCUCCAGACAUCGCCACCCCUCCUCCCCUUAUUGGUUUCCCUUCCCAACAGAAACCAUUCCCUUUUGCCACAAAAACUAGGUUGCAUCCAAAAGUUUCUCACAAGCUUAAAAAAGAAAAAAUGAAAAGUUGACAACCAUUAUACAGAAGAGCCCACAAAAGCUGCAGCAGCAGGAGGUGAAGAAGCAGCGUCAGACCCAGAGAUGGGCAUUGAGAACUUCAUAACAAGAAUACCUUGAGGAAAAGCCCAGCAUAAGGAACUACUUUGUUGAGAGCUGGGUUCAGCCCUGCAUGUGGCUGAUGCUGGAAGCUCUCUCAGGCUCAUCCACCCAGGCCCUGAGUUGGACUUUGGGAAACCGGAGCUGAGCACGCUACCCAGUGUGACCCCAGAGGCCCCCAGGGGCAGUGCAGGCCCAUGUGAAAACAACACAGAGAUACAGCAAGAAAGAACAGUGAGGGGGACUGACUGCAACUGACUAGUUUUCUGUCUGGAGUUCAUGAACAGGACUCCUUCUCCUUUGCACUGAGCCGGUCCUAGGAGUCUGAAGGUCCUCGGGUCUGCAAGACACACCAAAGAACUCCCCCGAGUCACACAGGGGAGAAAAUGAACUUCUCCACUGACCUCUAUCAGGGACCUAAUUUUUCCCCCUUCUUUCUCAAAAGUUUCCCAAAUCCCGUGACUCUGAUUUCCAGGUCAGAAACUAGAGUUUUAUUUUUAUUUUUCUGUAUAUUUUGCAUAUGGAGAGUCUCUGAAGGAACUCUGUGAUGGGCUGAUUACUGUAAGGCUUUUGUGACCGAGGUGCUGGAGAGGGAAUUCAGCCACCUGUGGGCAGUGAUCUGGCAGCCCUCAAUCAGCUUCCGCUUUCUCCCGGCAGGCAGCACCAAGAAAUGGCAGAGUUGUAAAGUCUGAAAUUCCACACGAGACAUUUCUGAGUUAUAUCAUAAAUUACAAUUUCUUUAAUCAUGUGGAAAAUAAGAAGGCUUGCUAAAAAUUUUAACUCGAACGCCAUUGCUUUAAGAGAAAUGGAAACUUAAGCCCACACAGAACUUGCACAUGAGUGUUCUCAACAGCCUUUUCAUAAUAGCCAAAAAAAAAAAAAAAAGCAAUCCCAGUAUCUAUCAGCUAAAGAAUGGAUAAACAUAACAUGGUGUAUCCAUAUAACGGAAUGCUAUAUAAUGCUAUAAACAUAUAUAGCAUCUAACAUAUAAUGCAUAUAACAGCAUGGAUGAAUCUUAAAACAUCAUGCUAAGUAAAAGCCAUCACAAAGAAGCACACAGGCUCUGAUUCCAUUUAUAUGAACUUCAAAUCUAUAGGGACAGAAAUUCAAUUAGGGGAUGGCUAGGGCUUGGAGACAGGGUGGGAAGAUUGGGGGAUGACAGCAAAAUUAUGCAGAGUUUCUUUUUGGGGUGAUGAAAAUGUUCUAAAAUUAACUGUGGUGAUCAUUACACAACUUGGUGAUUGUAUUACAAAUAGGUAAAUUGCAUGGUGUGCAAAUUAUAUUGCAAUAAAGCUAUUAAAACUUCUUAAAAUUAAAUAUUUUUAAAAAAGACCAAUGGUUUAUCUCUCUUUUUCUGUACUUGGACACUUGGGGAUAAGUGUGUCUAGGCUGAAAAACAGAUUUCAUGAGCUCACUGAAAUGAGACUGUAAAAGACAGGGAUUCUUCCCUAGGUGAGAGAAUCUGAGGUACAGGCUCCUGCAUAUCUACAAUACUCCCACCUGUAACUCUUUUGAACUUUGCUGAAAUUUGUUUUCCUUAGCCUGAAAUCAUUAAAAAAC